UACGUAGGGGGCAAGCGUUAUCCGGAUUUACUGGGUGUAAAGGGAGCGUAGACGGAAGGCCAAGUCUGAUGUGAAAGCCCGCGGCUCAACUGCGGGACUGCAUUGGAAACUGGUCAUCUGGAGUGCAGGAGGGGUAAGCGGAAUUCCUAGUGUAGCGGUGAAAUGCGUAGAUAUUAGGAGGAACACCGGUGGCGAAGGCGGCUUACUGGACUGUAACUGACGUUGAGGCUCGAAAGCGUGGGGAGCAAAC
rnacentral:rRNA from 1 species